CUGUAAUACAGGCCUACUCGUUUUUUAUACAAGUCACUAAACAUGUGCUUACUUGUUAUAAACACUGGAUUUUCUAGCAUUAGUGAAGCUGUUUAACACACACCUGAUGAUUCAAUGCUGCAUACCGACAUGUUCGACGUGCUGUUAUCAGGACGACGUCCGAAAUCUCGAACAGUUUGAGAGGAAGUGGCAUCUUUCUGUUGGCAGCGACUGUUUUCAGCAGCCCAGGAAGAAGACAGAUGUUCUGGUGCAGUUUCUCCUGCAGCUCUAUGAAGCUGUCGUAUCGCUCCUGGGUGAAUGUAAUGUUGCGCAGUACAGCGGCUACAGCGAACGGCCUCACAGAUGCCGUCUACAGAAACACAA
rnacentral:lncRNA from 1 species